AUGCAGAUGGCACCAGGAAAUGAGCCGUGCCCACGUAGUGGAAAUAAAGAAUCUAACCGCCACCGCGUCCUCCUCCGGGCCGCCUCUCGCAGGGGAUGCAUUCCAGACACGCAGUGCGGUUAUAAAGUGGCUUGUCCUCGCCAUGAAGAUUGUUUUGUGGUGAUCCACAGGAGCGCGUUUCUACAGUACUUCUGCCAGGAAUGUACCACAGUGUUGAUUUUGGCAAACCGACGAGCGCUGAAAACAAACAUGUUCACAGAUGCAUGUUUUGCAGACAUUUUGCAAACUUUGCAUAUUUUCCUCACAAUUUAUACAUAUAACAUAAAAAUAUUAUUUAAAAUUAUUUUGUAUUAUCUUUCAUGCUUCCUGCUGAUGCAUGUGCACAGAUAGACAGAGCAGGGUGUGCCUAUAGGCUGUGAUCUCCAUGCAUGCGAGUGGUGUUGGGUGCACGGCCCGAUGUGCUGAGUCCUUCAUGUGUGCGUGUUGUCGGGUGGAUAAAUAGGCCUGGGGCCUAUUUCAGAGUGACACAUG
rnacentral:lncRNA from 1 species